UAGGGAAUCUUCGGCAAUGGGGGCAACCCUGACCGAGCAACGCCGCGUGAGUGAAGAAGGUUUUCGGAUCGUAAAGCUCUGUUGUAAGAGAAGAACGUGUGUGAGAGUGGAAAGUUCACACAGUGACGGUAACUUACCAGAAAGGGACGGCUAACUACGUGCCAGCAGCCGCGGUAAUACGUAGGUCCCGAGCGUUGUCCGGAUUUAUUGGGCGUAAAGCGAGCGCAGGCGGUUUAAUAAGUCUGAAGUUAAAGGCAGUGGCUUAACCAUUGUUCGCUUUGGAAACUGUUAAACUUGAGUGCAGAAGGGGAGAGUGGAAUUCCAUGUGUAGCGGUGAAAUGCGUAGAUAUAUGGAAGAACACCGGUGGCGAAAGCGGCUCUCUGGUCUGUAACUGACGCUGAGGCUCGAAAGCGUGGGGAGCAAACAGG
rnacentral:rRNA from 1 species